AUUUCCUUCAGCCAAUGUGAUGAGGAAGAGGAUGGAGGGAAAGAACAAUGCAGGCAUGGCGAUGCCCACUGGGAUGCCACGUCCCCCAGCCCGAUCUGUGCAGAGUCCUGCAUGAUACCGCCUUGUCAUGUAACCACUCCAGCCUGAAUCCCAGAUGCAAAACCCAGUUCAAACUACUUCCCCAGACCCAGAAGCAAGAGAUCCCUUGGUCUCCUGUGGUCUGGAUGGGACCUGGAGAACCAGCAAUUAUGACAAGGCCAUCAGCAACUUCCUAGGUAAGCUGAAAGACCGGCAAGCUCCAGGACACCAAAGAUGCUCCAUAUGUGCUCCAUCUUCAUGGAUGUGCAUGAUGCCACUGACUGCUUUUACAGCCCCUGAGCAAGAUGGGCAAGAGGGAGCUUCCUGCCCAUCCCAUGACAUCCUAGCAGCUCCAAAAGAACUACAGAAAAAUGUGCAAGGAGCAUGGGAUGCCAUCACUCCUGGGACCUCAAGCCACUUCCUCAUUUGUUUAGCCUUUAUCAAAAUGUAGUUUAGUUGAUAGAGUGCUUACCUAUCUAGUAUACAUGAAGUCCUAGAUUUAACCCCCAUAACCACAUAAAACCAAGCAUAGUGGUGCAUGCCUGCAAUCCCAACACAAGAGAGAGAGAGAGAGAGAGAGAGAGAGAGAGAGAGAGAAGGUUUAAAAGACUAAAGUCAUCUUCCACUACAUAGUGGAUUCAAAGCCAACCUGGGAUACAUAACAUAAGCCCUUGUCCUCCUCCUCCUCCAAUAUCAGCAUACUUUCCAAUCCCUGGUACAUGAGCUCACUCCACUAGGCAGUUUUCUUGUAAGCCAGUGAUUCUACUAACAGCAAUGGACUGGUGUCUUCCAUGGGACACAUGUGUAGAGGCAGGAACAGCAUUCAAGGACUCUUGGUCCUAUCACAAGGGACAUGGCCUCAUGAUGUCUGAAUACCCUUCUUAAAAGUCCAAGACCCACAUACCUACAAAUAUUUCCCCCAAAUCCUCUGGGUAAAUCUUAAUAUUAGAAUCCUGCAAGCAGCCUGGUUAUGUUUGGAGAAGAAAGGAAAAGCCUGAAACUCCCAGAGUUACUAACAUUCACCUCAUGUCCAGCCAUGACAUGAAGGAUUGCUUGUUUUGAUUGCCUAGUACUGACAAAGUUAUAACCCUGCCAGGCCACUACAUCAUUAGCAAGCAAGCUGCUUGAAGUCAAAAGACUUGGGUUUAAAUGAUAGCUCUACUACCAACUGACUCUAUGACCUCAGGAAAAAUUUCCUAACUUCUCUGUCACUCAAAUUUCUCAUUUCAGGCUAGGAAUAUAUCUGUCAGUUAGAGAAAAUGUGCACAGAGCACCAGAGAUUUUAGAUUUGGACUCUUGUAGAGCAGGAAUAUUUUCUCAUUUCCCAUGGAAACAGGACAAGACUAAUAUGGUUUAGUAAAUACUUAGCAGAAUGAAGGAGAACAUUUUCCCCCAAUG